UUUAGGGUUGACUGGGGUGAGGACAUGAACUUAGGGUUUGGGUUAAGGUUAGGUUUAGGGUUGAGCCGAGUUGAGGACAUUAACUUAGGGUUUGGGUUAAGGUUAGGUUUAGGGUUGACUGGGGUGAGGACAUGAACUUAGGGUUUGGGUUAAGGUUAGGUUUAGGGUUGACUGGGGUGAGGACAUGAACUUAGGGUUUGGGUUAAGGUUAGGUUUAGGGUUGACUGGGGUGAGGACAUGAACUUAGGGUUUGGGUUAAGGUUAGG